rnacentral:rRNA from 1 species
UACGUAGGUGGCAAGCGUUGUCCGGAUUUAUUGGGUUUAAAGGGUGCGUAGGCGGUCUAUUAAGUCAGUGCUGAAAUAUCCCGGCUUAACCGGGAGGGUGGCAUUGAUACUGAUAGACUUGAGUAGAGUUGAGGUAGGCGGAAUUGACGGUGUAGCGGUGAAAUGCUUAGAUAUCGUCAAGAACACCAAUAGCGAAGGCAGCUUACUAAGCUGUAACUGACACUGAUGCACGAAAGUGUGGGGAUCAAACAGG